AUGAACGCUGGCGGCGUGCCUCAUCCAUGCCAGUCGAGCCAACAGACGAGGAGCUUUCUUCUCUGACGUUUGCGGCCUACGGGUUAUUAACCCCUUGUUAACCUUCCUUUAAUUCUGUGUUAACUUUGGGAAACCGGAUCUAAUUCCGGAUAAUAUUUUUAACCGCAUGGUUCAAUAGUUAAAGUCGGUUUUGCUGUCACUUAUUGAUGGAUCCUCGCCGCAUUAGCUAGUUGGUUAGGUAACGGCUUACCAAGGCAACGAUGCGUAGCCGACCUGAGAGGGGGAUAGGACAAACGGGAACGGAGACACGGUCCAGACGACUACGGGAGGAAGCAGUAGGGAAUAUUAGGCAAAGGGCGAAAGCCUGACGGAGCAAAGCCGCGUGAGUGAUGAAGGUAUUGGGAUCGUAAAAAUAUGUUAUUAGGGAAGAAAAAAUGUGUAAGAAAAUAAGCACGUAUUGACGGUAACUAAUAAGAAAGCAACGGCUAACUACGUG
rnacentral:rRNA from 1 species